rnacentral:tRNA from 1 species
AAAAAGAUAAGCUAAGUAAGCUAAUGGGUUCAUACCCCGUAUAUAAAGGUUUAAAUCCUUUUCUUUUUA